rnacentral:RNase_P_RNA from 21 species
AGAGUAGACGCAGGCGGUUGCAGAUCAGUCAUAGUCACUGAUUUGAGGAAAGUCCGGGCUCCCGAAAGACCAAACUUGCUGGAUAACGUCCAGUGCGAGCGAUCGUGAGGAUAGUGCCACAGAAAGAUACCGCCAGAUCAAUUAAAAAUUAAAAAUUAAAAAUCUAAAAUGAGUAAUUUUUAAUUUUACAUUUUUAAUUGAUCUGGUAAGGGUGCAAAGGUGCGGUAAGAGCGCACCAGCAGUAUCGAGAGGUGCUGGCUCGGUAAACCCCGGUUGGGAGCAAGGCGAUAGGAACUACGGUUGGUCUUUUACCAGUUCCGCUCAAUGAGAGCCGCUAGAGGCGUUUGGUAACAAGCGUCCCAGAUAGAUAACUGCCCUCGCAAGAGAACAGAACCCGGCUUAUGUACUGCUCUUUCC